AAAGUCGACUAGACAGUCGCUGCUUCCUUAAUCUAAAAAGGAAGGAGAGGAAAGUCCGGGCUCUUAGGGUUAGGGUGCCAGGUAACGCCUGGGAAGCGAGAGCUUACGACUAGUGCAACAGAAAAAAAACCGCUUAUGUAAAUAUUUUAAAUAUUAACUAUUUACAAGCAAGGGUGAAAAGGUGUGGUAAAAGCACACCGCGCUUAUUGGUAACAAUUUGUGGCAUUGUAAACUCCACCCGGAGCAAGGCCAAAUAGGGUUUUUUUAAGUAUAACCCAUACUAAACCCGGGUAGGCUGCUUGAAUUAAUAAGUAAUUAUUAGUCUAGAUGAAUGACUGUCCACGACAGAACCCGGCUUAUAGGUUGACUUUCUUA
rnacentral:RNase_P_RNA from 1 species